AAUGAACGCUGGCGGCAUGCCUAACACAUGCAAGUCGAACGAGACCUUCGGGUCUAGUGGCGCACGGGUGCGUAACGCGUGGGAAUCUGCCCUUGGGUUCGGAAUAACUCGCCGAAAGGCGUGCGAAUACCGGAUGAUGACGUAAGUCCAAAGAUUUAUCGCCCAAGGAUGAGCCCGCGUAGGAUUAGCUAGUUGGUGGGGUAAAGGCCCGACAAGGCGACGAUCCUUAGCUGGUCUGAGAGGAUGAUCAGCCACACUGGGACUGAGACACGGCCCAGUCUCCUACGGGAGGCAGCAGUGGGGAAUAUUGGACAAUGGGCGAAAGCCUGAUCCAGCAAUGCCGCGUGAGUGAUGAAGGCCUUAGGGUUGUGAAGCUCUUUUACCCGGGAUGAUAAUGACAGUACCGGGAGAAUAAGCCCCGGCUAACUCCGUGCCAGCAGCCGCGGUAA
rnacentral:rRNA from 1 species